rnacentral:rRNA from 1 species
AUUGAACGCUGGCGGCAGGCCUAACACAUGCAAGUCGAACGAGUGGCGGACGGGUGAGUAAUGUAUGGGAAACUGCCUGAUGGAGGGGGAUAACUACUGGAAACGGUAGCUAAUACCGCAUACCAUCGGAUGUGCCCAGAUGGGAUUAGCUAGUAGGUGGGGUACAGGCUCACCUAGGCGACGAUCCCUAGCUGGUCUGAGAGGAUGACCGCGCACACGGGAACUGGGACACGGUCCAAACUCCUACGGGAGGCACGAGUGGGGAAUAUUGGACAAUGGGCGCAAGCCUGAUGCAGCCAUGCCGCGUGUAUGAAGCAGGCAUUCGGGUUGUAAAGUCCUUUCAGCGGGGAGGCGUUACCCGCAGAAGAAGCACCGGCUAACUCCGUGCCAGCAGCCGCGGUAAUAC